CCCUUAGAUGUUCUGGGCCGCACGCGCGCUUCACUGAUGCAUUCAACGAGUCUAAAACCUGGUCUGAUAGGGCUGGGUAAUCUUUUGAAAGUGCAUCGUGAUUGGGAUAGAUGAUUGCAAUUCUUCAUCUUCAACGAGGAAUGCCUAGUAAACGCAAGUCAUCAGCUUGCAUUGAUUACGUCCCUGCCCUUUGUACACACCGCCCGUCGCUCCUACCGAUUGAAUGAUCCGAUGAAUACCAUGGAUUGAGAGUACGAAUGGGUUCGCUCAUUUCUGCUGCUCGAGAAGUGGAGUAAAUCUUAUCAUUUAGAGGAAGGAGAAGUCGUAACA
rnacentral:rRNA from 1 species